GUGCUUGCUUUGGCAGCACAAAUACUAAAAUUUGAAUAAUACAGAGAUUAGCAUGCUCCUUGAUCAAAGAUGACAUGCAUGCAGUUUCAUGAACCAUUACAUAUUUUU